UUGUUGGAUGAGGAAAUGGAAGCUCCCUAUCUGCAGACAGGACACCAGACAGUGUGGCCGGGGAACGCCUGGUUGUGUCCCCAGUAAGAGGUUGUUGGAUGAGGAAAUGGAAGCUCCCUAUCUGCAGACAGGACACCAGACAGUGUGGCCGGGGAACGCCUGGUUGUGUCCCCAGUAAUCAGGUUGUUGGAUGAGGAAAUGGAAGCUCCCUAUCUGCAGACAGGACACCAGACAGUGUGGCCGGGGAACGCCUGGUUGUGUCCCCAGUAAUCAGGUUGUUGGAUGAGGAAAUGGAAGCUCCCUAUCUGCAGACAGGACACCAGACAGUGUGGCCGGGGAACGCCUGGUUGUGUCCCCAGUAAUCAGGUUGUAGGAUGAGGAAA